AGACGAAUCCAGCGUCAGUCCUGCGGCGCAGCGGCUUCAUCACAGGAAGUUGUUCGAGAUCUCACGCACGUGUUCAAACAGGUCCUCUGCCUCUGCGCUGUAAGCGUCUCCUGAAACAGCGAGCGUGAUCUGGAGUGACCGUGAUCUACUUCCUGUUUGCUGAGCCGAUCUCAGACUGAAUACUGGGGUGAACUCUGAAGCGCAGACGGAGACUAAGCUCGAGUCUUAACACAGUUUCUGUCAGGUCUGCGCUCAGAAAGGGUUAGAGGAGGCUCAGCGUGACCUCUGACCUGGAAGAUGUAGUCUCCGGGCCGGACGUCGGUGAUGUCCACCCACUGGCAGUCGAUGUCGUGGCGGUGACUCCGGCGGCUCUGGCUCCGCCCCCUCGUGGGCAGUACACCUGUCCGUUCUUGUUGCACUGCUGGAUGGAGAUCUCAGUGCCGAUGCAGUGUGUUCCGCUCAGAAGCACGUCCUCGGACCCGGAGCUGCUGGGCCAGAACCAG